rnacentral:rRNA from 1 species
AGGUCACGGCGAGACGAGCCGUUUAUCAUUACGAUAGGUGUCAAGUGGAAGAUGGCCUUCAACAAAAAAAAGUGGAAGGUGGCCUUCAACAAAAAAAAGUGGAAGGUGGCCUUCAACAAAAAAAAGUGGAAGGUGGCCUUCAACAAAAAAAAAAGUGGAAGGUGGCAGUAA